rnacentral:rRNA from 1 species
GACGAACGCUGGCGGCGUGCUUAACACAUGCAAGUCGAACGGAAAGGCCCUGCUUUCGUGGGGUGCUCGAGUGGCGAACGGGUGUGUAACACGUGUGUACCCUGCCCUUGACUUUGGGAUAACUUCAGGAAUCUGGGGCUAAUACCAGAUAGACGCUCCUGCUGCUUGUUGUGGGUUGGUAAGUUUCGGCGGUUGGGGAUGCACUCGCUGUUUAUCUGCUUGUUGGUGGGUUGGUUGCCUACCCAGGCUUUGACGGGUAGCCGGCCUGAGUGGGUGACCGGCCACAUUGGGACUGAUAUGCGGCCCAGACUUCUGCGGGAGACAGCAGUGGAGAAUAGUGCACAAGGCGCGAGAGCCAGGUGGAGCAACGGCGCGUGCGAGAUAACGGCUUUCGUUUUGUAAACCGCUUGCGCCGGAGACGAAGCGUGGGUGACGGUAAUGGAUAAGGAAGCACCGGCUAACUACGU